CUAGAUUUUAUGUCUGGUCAGGUCGUCUUCAGCCUCAGAAAGCCAGAAAGGUGCAAAAACGUUAACUUUCGGACUCGAAAGCAAAGCCUGAAAGUACAGAUAUUUCACAACCAGUGAUAGAUAAAGACAAAGGAGCAAGUUCGACCAGACGUGUGUAUUACAUUGUGCAGUAGAAUUGGUUUCGUUUCAGCAGACGUUAAUACCAGAUCAAAAUGGAUACCACACCAAAGGAUAAUCGCAAAGCUAAAAAGCCUAAAAUGGAGGACGACAGCAAAUAUCUUCCAGAGCUUCUAGCUGAAAAAGAUAGCCUUGAUGCAUCGUUUACCCACGCAAUGAAACUUCUAAAUGAAGAAAUUGAAAGGAUCCAGAAAGGAGAACCCAAGAAAGAAGCAGAGACCUACUUGGACCUGUUCAGCACGAAGAAUGUGAGGGUGAAGGAGAGGGUGUUGAUUCCUGUAAAGCAGUACCCACGUUUUAACUUCGUUGGGAAGAUCUUGGGACCACAGGGGAACACCAUCAAACGACUACAGGAGGACACGGGGGCAAAGAUAUCUGUUCUGGGCAGAGGGUCCAUGAGGGAUAAGAACAAGGAGGAAGAGCUUAGGAAGGGCGGAGAGCCCAAAUAUGCCCAUCUGGCCAUGGAGCUGCAUGUGUUCAUCGAGGUGUACGCGCCGAUUCCUGAGGCAUACCUGCGCAUGGCCCAUGCUAUGGAGGAAGUGAAGAAGUUCCUGGUUCCUGUUGAUAAUGUUGAGGACAUCCACCAGGAGCAGUUCAUGGAUAUGGGCGGCUACCUUAAUGGCUCUCAGGACCAAGGAGGCAGAGGCCGUGGUGGACCACCAGGCAGGGGGAGAGGAGCCCCACCACCCCCCAUGUCUGUGCCCAGGGGUCGUGGCAUGCCUCCACGUGGAGCAGGUCCCCGUGGUGGUGCACAGCGAGGAGGUCCUGGUCGAGGUGGAGCCGUAAGGGGGGCUCCUGCUGGCAGAGGCGGACCACCACCCACUGCACCCCCAGGCAGAGGGGGCGCCGCCACACGGGCAAGGCCCUCUGCACCCCCUCCUCAGAGGAUGCUGCCAUCCUCAGCACUCUCUCACCAGCACCACCAGCAACCGCACCAGCCUCAGCAUCAGCACCAGCACCAGCACCAACAUCCAGCAGCCCCCGAGGCCUAUGAGGAAUAUUCAUAUGAUGAAACGUAUCCUGAAGGCUCCUACGAAGGGUAUGACUACAGCCACUACAGUCAGCCUCCCCAAGCAGAGACGGAAUACUAUGACUAUGGGCAUGGAGAGGCACAGGAGACGUAUGAGUCCUAUGGUAUGGGUAAAUCUGAGGAUGACUGGGGGGAGGGUGGAUGGGCGGCAGGCGGAAGUGGUAAAGCAGCUGCUCCCCGACAGAAUAAGAAUGCCCCUCGGGCACAUCCGUACGCACGGCCUUUCUGAUCACUGAGCCAGUUUCCUGGGCAACCGCAUCGAGUUCUAACUCCUUUUUAACGACUCAAAGGAUAUCUUCAGGCAGCAAGCCAUAAUUCUCAGCCAGGCCUAUGGAUCACAGGCCACAGGUAGGUAGCAGGCAGGGGUCGGUUAAACAUUACCACCUCCCGUGAUCUUUGAGGUAAAGUAUGAAUUGAGAUGAAUGGUGUGUUGGAAUUGGUGGCAGAUAGGUAUGUGUGUAAGGGCAGUGGCGUUUUUUGUGACCGGACUUUCAAAAACGUAUUUUUUCUAGCCCCCUCACUAACUUGUACAUUAUUAUACUAUACAUUAAAAUUGGCUAACGUACUGGCAUAUAAUGUCUAUCAGAUCUUAUGCUAGAAUAUUUUUAGGUGUUGGUAGUUAAUCAUAACUUGAACAACAGCCAAAUCAACGGGGUAGUGGGGAGCAAUUAGUGGCCAGCCAGUGAAUGUUUUUCUCACCUUGAGAGGGUGAAUUUGCUCAGUGCAAACAGGCAGUUUGAUGUCUUGCAUUGAAGUGGUCGCGAAUUAAGCUGUCAAACAUGGGAAAAUGUAUCGUUCACAAUGGCUGAUGGGAUGAGUGACUCUUUCGGUUCCUUCUUCCUCCUUAGCUUGGUUUGUUUGCCAGCUUGUUAGCUGAUAAAUGUGGGAAUGUUUGAGAUGGUGAAUUUCGUCAAAUGAUGCAGAAUCUGAAGUUGACGAAAGACCAAGUUAAACACCUAUCAGAAAACCCGAAAUAGUGAACUUGGCCACAACUACACAAUAGCACAUUUUGAUGGGGUCUUCAGAAAAUCUUCCCUCCUUAGAACCAAUAUAAAAACCCUGGGCUUAACCAAUGUCUAAAUAUAGUUAUAAAAUGACUUCAACAUGAAACUGUAUUCAUGGGUUUCAUCCGGUCCCUUUCCACAGGUGUAUACAAUCAAGCACCUUGAUUAUGAAUGCAGCCUGCAUGGUGCUUGAUUAAUACACCUCUGGAAAGGGACCUGAUGAAACCCAUGAAUAUUUGGGUCACUAGUAGGCCACCGGUAUGCUUUAUUUGAUUUGAUACUUGGUAGACAUUUAGACAUUCUAUUAGUCAACAGAGCCCGUCCACUCAAGUUUUUGAAGUAAGAAUCCCUUUCAUUAUCUCCAUUGAAGAAUUGAAUUAUAAGCCAUUAAAUGUUAAGCAUCCUAGGUAGACUUACCAUAGGUGUGUAUGUAUAUGUGGAAUAAUUCACCUCUCUCUUCCUUGCCUUUUUAGAAGCAACCUGGUCGUCCAGUUGAUAUUUAAUUGUAUGCUUUUCAUUUUGUAUUUUGCUACUUUUAUGAAAUAAAUGAAGAAAUCGAC